rnacentral:rRNA from 1 species
AGCGAACGCUGGCGGCAGGCCUAACACAUGCAAGUCGAACGGACCCUUCGGGGUUAGUGGCGGACGGGUGAGUAACACGUGGGAACGUGCCUUUAGGUUCGGAAUAGCUCCUGGAAACGGGUGGUAAUGCCGAAUGUGCCCUUCGGGGGAAAGAUUUAUCGCCUUUAGAGCGGCCCGCGUCUGAUUAGCUAGUUGGUGAGGUAAUGGCUCACCAAGGCGACGAUCAGUAGCUGGUCUGAGAGGAUGACCAGCCACAUUGGGACUGAGACACGGCCCAAACUCCUACGGGAGGCAGCAGUGGGGAAUCUUGCGCAAUGGGCGAAAGCCUGACGCAGCCAUGCCGCGUGAAUGAUGAAGGUCUUAGGAUUGUAAAAUUCUUUCACCGGGGACGAUAAUGACGGUACCCGGAGAAGAAGCUCCGGCUAACUUCGUGCCAGCCGCCGCGGUAAGAC